rnacentral:rRNA from 1 species
CCUACGGGAGGCAGCAGUGGGGAAUUUUGGACAAUGGGCGCAAGCCUGAUCCAGCUAUUCCGCGUGUGGGAAGACGGCCUUCGGGUUGUAAACCAUUUUUGUAGAGGACGAAAAGUCUGUUGAUAAUACCGAUAGAUGAUGACGGUACUCUAAGAAUAAGCACCGGCUAACUACGUGCCAGCAGCCGCGGUAAUACGUAGGGUGCGAGCGUUAAUCGGAAUUACUGGGCGUAAAGGGUGUGCAGGCGGUUUUGCAAGAUGGAUGGUAAAGCCCCGGGCUUAACCUGGGAAAGCCAUACAUGACUGGAAGACUAGAGUGCGUCAGAGGUGGGUGGAAUGCCAGGUGUAGCAGUGAAAUGCGUAGAUAUUUGGAAGAACACCGAUGGCGAAGGCAGCCCCCUGGGACGCAACUGACGCUCAUACACGAAAGCGUGGGUAGCAAACAGGAUUAGAUACCCUAGUAGUC